rfam:Synergistales bacterium 54_24 S_scaffold_141, whole genome shotgun sequence.
GGUCCCAUCGUCUAGUGGCCUAGGACACCGCCCUUUCAAGGCGGCGGCACGGGUUCGAAUCCCGUUGGGACCG